rnacentral:rRNA from 1 species
UACGAAGGGGGCUAGCGUUGCUCGGAAUCACUGGGCGUAAAGCGCACGUAGGCGGAUUUCUAAGUCAGGGGUGAAAUCCUGGAGCUCAACUCCAGAACUGCCUUUGAUACUGGGAAUCUCGAGUCCGGGAGAGGUGAGUGGAACUGCGAGUGUAGAGGUGAAAUUCGUAGAUAUUCGCAAGAACACCAGUGGCGAAGGCGGCUCACUGGCCCGGUACUGACGCUGAGGUGCGAAAGCAUGGGGAGCGAACAGG